rnacentral:rRNA from 1 species
UGGGGAAUAUUGGACAAUGGGCGCAAGCCUGAUCCAGCCAUGCCGCGUGUGUGAAGAAGGCCUUUUGGUUGUAAAGCACUUUAAGCGAGGAGGAUGCUACUUGGAUUAAUACUCUAGGAUAGUGGACGUUACUCGCAGAAUAAGCACCGGCUAACUCUGUGCCAGCAGCCGCGGUAAUACAGAGGGUGCGAGCGUUAAUCGGAUUUACUGGGCGUAAAGCGUGCGUAGGCGGCUUCUUAAGUCGGAUGUGAAAUCCCUGAGCUUAACUUAGGAAUUGCAUUCGAUACUGGGAAGCUAGAGUAUGGGAGAGGAUGGUAGAAUUCCAGGUGUAGCGGUGAAAGGCGUAGAGAUCUGGAGGAAUACCGAUGGCGAAGGCAGCCAUCUGGCCUAAUACUGACGCUGAGGUACGAAAGCAUGGGGAGCAAACAGG